rnacentral:rRNA from 1 species
AGGCCUAAUACAUGCAAGUCGAGCGGUAGCACAGGGAGCUUGCUCCUGGGUGACGAGCGGCGGACGGGUGAGUAAUGUCUGGGAAACUGCCUGAUGGAGGGGGAUAACUACUGGAAACGGUAGCUAAUACCGCAUAACGUCGCAAGACCAAAGAGGGGGACCUUCGGGCCUCUUGCCAUCAGAUGUGCCCAGAUGGGAUUAGCUAGUAGGUGGGGUAAUGGCUCACCUAGGCGACGAUCCCUAGCUGGUCUGAGAGGAUGACCAGCCACACUGGAACUGAGACACGGUCCAGACUCCUACGGGAGGCAGCAGUGGGGAAUAUUGCACAAUGGGCGCAAGCCUGAUGCAGCCAUGCCGCGUGUAUGAAGAAGGCCUUCGGGUUGUAAAGUACUUUCAGCGAGGAGGAAGGCAUUGUGGUUAAUAACCACAGUGAUUGACGUUACUCGCAGAAGAAGCACCGGCUAACUCCGUGCCAGCAGCCGCGGUAAU